AGGAUCUGGCCUUCAGUGUGUAGAAACAGCAAGAGUUUGACAAUGAAAUCGGUGCAAGUCUGCUCAAAAAGCUGUUUAAUAAUUUGCCUUCAGGCAAAAACAUUUUAAAAGAGAGGGGGCAUCACUGUGCAGCAGCAAAAUGAUGGGCAAAAGACCUGUUUGCCCUCACGAGUGGGUCUGUUUGCAUGGGGUAGAGGAAAGGGUUUGAACAAUCCUUCGAUUUUUUUCAUUUUGUUUGGACACUGCCUAGUACAAAUGGGCUUGGGCAAGAGAAAUAAAGGCUACAAAAAUCCCAGGGCCCCGUAGGUCAGCAAGAGUGCAUGGAGAUAUUUAGGUCUUCUCUGGGGUAAGAGAAUCGAGGAAGGUUCAUGGGGAAGCCAAAAGACAGUGAUGUUUUUGGGGAUGAUGGGAGGGAGAGAAAUCAGAGGAUAUCAUGCAAAAAGGCUCUGAGGCAGCCAAAGGAGCUGGACACAGGCAGGAACAGAGAAAUCCCCGAGGGCAUCUCGACAGCUCCGCUGGCUGCUUGGGGCAGAUGGUUCAAUGCUGGACUCAGACAUGGGAUGAGAACGCUGAGGGCUGGCAUUUUUGUUGAGCCCAGAGAAAAUGAGCAACGGAGGUGCCACUGGGCUCAACGAUGCACCAAAGAAUUGAGAGAGAUGGAGGCUUUGCAAAAAGGGAAUGAGAGUCUGGAACAGGCUGAGCUGCCGGUGGAACUGCGGUCUGCUGGGGCAGAGCCAGACCGUGUCCAGGCGCCCCGGGUGAGGCUCAGCCGCAGCACGGCUCCUCUGGAAACAGGGACGGGAAGGUGGCCCAGUCAUCAGAGCCCGAUGGGUGAGACAAGUCCUCAUAAAAAUAUGAGCCAGCAGGAAAGCUUCAGCAACCCAGAAUAAGAGGCGCAGAAAGGAAUAAAAAUGCCGAAAAAUCACCUUGAGCAGAGGCUCCUGAACCACACUGGAAGACAGCCUUUGCGUGGGACAGGGCCAGCCCAAGGACUUGGCACUUCUCGACUCUCUUUGGGGCCCACUGGGACUCAGACAGGAGACGAAAAAUUUUGUCAGCUCAAUUACUGCAGCCUCCUCCUCCCUUAUCCCCACUUUCAAGAAGAAAACAUGCCAGGAGUCGUCUUUGGCUGCCUUCAAGUCCACGUGCCUGCCAAGGAGCCACACGGGCUGCUUCACGGGGCUGUCUUGAGCAGACACACGUUAACGGAGCUGCAGGAUUUACCCUCUGAGAAGAGAUCAAGCUGUGACCCAGGAUGAGCACAGCACAAAGUCCCAGGUCUAACACAGUGUUCAUGGAGUAGAAGGGAGGAAUCAGAGACUAGGACAAGACCGAGGAACUGCCAAUCUGGAACAGACCAGUGGUGCCUGCAGUCAAGUACCCGGCUUCCAGCAGAGGCCAAAUUUGGAUGCUUUAGAGGAAAAUCUUCGAUAGCAUCCCAGUUCCAGGAAGAGUGCAAUACGUCAAGUGUUUGCUCAUGUUGGGAUAGCUACAGAACUGUAACAGGGCAGACAGGCUAUUUAUAAGCAUAUCAGAUGUCAGCUGAGCUCUUUGCACUUUCUAUAGAUCAUACAUCAAGUCUAAUGAGAAGGAACACAGGCUGAGGGGAACAAAUGAGCACAGGGCAGAGAAGAGGUGUCCUCUUAAUACAAUACAUACAGGGAAGAACAGCAGCUGGCCCUGUGCCCAGCACUACUUACAAGGCCUCUGAAAGCUGAGCAAGAUCACUUUACUGACAACGCCGUGAGAAGGAAGGGUUGAGGAUUCUGGUUGUGAUGAUGGUUCUGCAUUAUUAGAUGGAGAAUUGUUUGCUCCUGAAAAAAAAAUGAUCCAAACCUAUUCAUAGAUAUUUCAUUAUGCUCUCUUCUAAGGACAUGCUGUGCCUAACAAAAUAAUAAGCCAGCUAAGGGGUUAAUUCUUUCUCUCUCCAAACCUACUAUAAGAAAGCUAGAAUACAGAUUUAAGCAUAGACAAAAGAUGAUAGUUGUUCCAAUUAAUGUUCCAGCUAGCAUCUGCUCUUUUUAAUUAGUUGAAGUCUGGUUUUGUCUGGAGACAGAACUGCUGAGCCGAAGUGUGCUGGCUUCUUUUCUGCUUAGCCGGCUAUUCUGAACUCUCUCGGUCUUUGGAAACUACUUCUCCGUUUCACAGAGGCCAGAGCCUUUUGUGCCUACAGGCCGUGUAUACAUUUCACUGCAACCAGCUUCAAAUCUGUGUUUCCCACUGGAGCAAAAGCUGACACAGAUAUUUUACAGAUGUCCUCUUCCCCCUACAGACACAUAUCUGUGCAUGGCUUCACUUAUCAGCAACUCAAUUUUCUUCUGCAAACAGGUAUUUUUGUAGAGCAGAUGCAGGUGGAUGGAGAAGGGUUCCCCAGGACCUGUUAACCUUCCUGUUUUGCUCGAAGCUCGAUGAUCCUUCACCUCACCCUUUGUAACAAGACCUCUGAGGAUCUGCGUGUUUCAAUUACACACAGAUGAAUAAUUUACAAGCCACGGCUGUUGCAAUAAACAAGUCCUUCUGCUCCGUCCAAGCACUCAACGGCUUGUCUUAAAUUUCCUUCACUUUGCUAAAACCUCCAUGACUUAAGCAGCAUUCAAAAACCUUUAAAGGAGAAGCUGAUGAGGGAAGAGCAGGGUGGCAUAUCACAGCAGCAAACAGCACUCACAGCGAGUACUCCUCUUAUCUCUGAGCAGGGCAUUGACCUGUUGUACAAACUCCAGGUAGGAAAGCCACUGGCAAAGCAACCCCAGAUGUAAUAUUUACCUAAGAGGAGACAUUUCAGUGGAAAACAAGCUACAGGAUCUGCUGACAUCCUGGUGGGGAGAACAGCGGGCAUUCACACAGGUGCAGGCAAAGGAAUAGGAACGGGAUGUGGAAACUUUCUAGCAUUUCCAAGUAAUAAAGCUGUUGUUGCAUGAC